AGCCACUAAGGGAGGUGGGACAUUUAUCAUCUAUCGUAUCUUGACGUUUCCCUCCUAAACUGCAAAGGAGAGGGCACUUGGCUGGGGUGCCAUCCAUGUGACCAUCAGCGGGUAGGGGAGCUCUAUCAUUUCUCGCUUUUACAUUCUUCGAGUCAAGGUUAACCGGAGCUCUCUCCUGUCCCUCUUUUACGUUCUUCAUGAGUCAGGCACCCCCAAUAAUAUAAUUUUCUCGGUAGACAAAUAAUAUAAAGUAUUUAACAUUUUUACCUUGUUAAUGACGUAUAUAUUGUAGUACCCUUUGACGGAGAGACAAGGGAGGGGGAAUACAAUUUGUUUUGAGCCCCCCUACAACAUUUCUUUUGUUUCCGUUGCCCAUAAAAUCGGAGUGUUGCGGCCAUACUUGAUACCUAGCCUCCAAAAUGAGUGGAAGGGGUAGGAGGGGGACUCUCUCUUUAAUCUAACCUUUAUGACCCCAAUUCGCUCAGGUCUUACCGCGUUGUGCCAUACAUGUAAUGUGACCACAACGCACGCAGCAUGUAAGCAAGCCAAGGAAGUGACCGACUGCAGAAAGGUUAAGGUGAAUGGCAAGGCAGCCGAUUCCUGCUUCUCCCUGAACGGUACGGACAAUAAUAUAGUAACAAGGUGGUGAACGACGGAUGCUAGACACGGGUGCGGAUAGCGGUAGUGCCUAGUAUUCAUGCUAUUGGGGACCAGAAAGGACGGAAGCCCUGUGUAUCUUCAGUAUUGCGCCGAUCACACGAAGUGCGAUGACAUCUGCGGAAACUUCAAUAGCACUAUCCUGAAUUAUUCCCUGGUUUCAUGCAAGGCCAUGUGUUACAAUGAAGGCUGGGCGCCGCCUACUUCGACUACCAAUAAAAUCCUCACCAUCGAAACAACGACAAAAGCUUCCGCUUCAGCUAGAAACCUCCUAGCUUCCUGUGUCAUUGUCAUCAUUGCCAUGGUGAAGCUGUUGUUUGUCUGAUAUAAUGUUAUACCAUUAUCGAGAAGAUAAGUGACUAAGGCUUGAAGAUAUCACCUAGUGUUAAGAUUAAGUUGUUAAGAUGGGUUUUUUUUCAAAAAGAAAAAGGCUGGCUCGCCUAAAAAAUGUUUUGUUUUUAUCACCUUGUAACGCCGUAGUUGACGUGACAGGCGCUUACGUCACAUUCCUGAUAGUCGGUUGCGUUACGCUUUACAGAUUCAUCAGGGUCUGAAUGGGGGAGUCUGCAUGUCGGUAGUCAGUUAAAAUUUCCAUAAUUUGUCGGUAAGAAUUUUCGGUCUUUGUCGGUAGUCGGUUAAUCUUAGCUAGUACUCGCUUUUAUACUAGAUUUCACGUAUAAACAAGAUUAAACAUUAUUUAGGAUUAUUUAGUAAUUAAAAGUGACCGUCUCAGACCAAGAAAAUUUUUGUUCAGAACAAAAAUACCAUCUUUUGCCAGGAGAGCGGAUAAAUAUUUUUGGCUUGUGAGAGAGGAAAAUGUAUUUUUCGAAUAUAAUUAGCGAUUUUCGGUAUUUUUCGGCUUGGACAGAAAAUGUCUAAAAAAACAUACAAAAUUAAGCCGGACGGCAAAAAUCAAACUUGAUUGAUAGAAAUUAUAUAAUUGCACAUAUUUGGAUUAGGUCGUUGGUAGUUAUAGUAUUGUUCUUAAUUUUUAACUGAUUUUUCAAUUAUUUUCUGUCUUUCGUACUCCGUAAAUAAGCCCGAAAAACGAGGCAUAUAUCUUCCAUGGGACGUGGAAUUGCACAAUUCUUUUCACUCUAGGUAUACAGCACUUAUUGUACUUCCAAGAUAUCAAAUAAAAUUUUGUGGCAAUUAAAAACACGGGUUUUGAUGAGGCGAUAAACAGCCCCCACUGAGCGCUCAUAUUUCAACAAUUGCAAGACAAUGGCUGUCGUAAGAGCACAUACCUUUGCAUCGGGGCACCUUUUAUCGCCAAAACAAGUUCAAAUAAAUGCGAAACGUGGUCCUGAUGGACUCUAAAUAACAUCUUACAAGGCGUAUCUAACCGUAGAAGUUCAAAAGAGCACUCGAUAACGCUAGGUCAAUCCUGUCAAUGCUUGUAUCCAGAGGCAACAAUGACAACCCCCUCUUCUAUCCCUAGGUUCCAUGACAGUGUAGUGGGUAUUUUUUAACAGUCUCAAAUUGGCUGUUCGAGCUUUUAUGUGCUCUAGUAAGUUGUACAAGUAGUAGCUAGUAGUGUACAGCCGGAAUCAACAUAGCAUUCAAUUAUGGCUCUGUUUCACAAUAAACAGAUACCUUGACACGAAUAUUUUGUAUUUUAUAGUUUAUUAUAUCAGCGAUAGAACUGGAAAAAGAAAUAUGAACGUUAUAUGAACACGACAAAAACGUGUUUUUAGCUGUGCUUACAUGGGCUUCCUGUGGUAUUGUCACGCAUUCAUUGUUUAUAUCUGACAGUUAACAUGGCGGCGAAAUCCGGAUACAAAGACGACCUCAAAUUCGUAAAAAAGCGGCAAGAAAUCUCUUACAAGCUACAAACAAUAGAACCAAAAUUAGUUCCUACGUAGGGAAACUGUAAUGUUUCUAGUACAGCUUUCUAUUGAAGGACUAAAUUCGACGGGAAGCGUGGCGUACGAUUGCGUUUAAUUCGAGGUCGAUCGAAUGGUUGACCUAGCGUUAUCGAGUGCUCUUUUGAACUUCUACGGUUAGAUACGCCUUGUAAGAUGUUAUUUAGAGUCUACCAGGACCACGUUUCGCAUUUAUUUGAACUUGUUUUGGCGAUAAAAGGUGCCCCGAUGCAAAGAUGGUAAAAGAUGGUAUUUUUGUUCUGAACAAACAUUUUCUUGGUCUGAUAAUAAAUUAAUUAUGGGUUUAUUAUUGACUGAAAAGUUGAUGCAACAGGAAAUACAUAGUACAGAUUGUGAAAUGGCCGAAUUUAAGUGGAUUGACGAUGGAAGUAAGGAGUAAAAAUACCGGUUAUAAUAAAAUGUCGGUAGUCGGCAAAUAUUUUGUUGUCGCUAGUCACUAGUUUUUUUCAUGUUUUGUCGGUAGUCAGCUACUUUCUUAAGCCGACUGUCGCUAGUCGUUUAACCCCAUCCAGACCCUGAUUCAUUCGCGACGGCCUCGCAUGGUCGCGGCAGACCUCUUGUUACUUUGAUUGAGUUUCCUGUGCAUCUUACUCAAUAUUAAAAAGCACCCAAUUAUUAUUUUUUUCUUUGGCAUCAUAAAAGCGCUUUUGGCU